rnacentral:lncRNA from 1 species
UAGGGAUCUGGGUGGGGAAGUGGGAGAUAGUGAGUCUCAAAGGAAAUGCCCACAAGUAACUGAGAUGAAGAAAGCAGUCUUAUAUCUUUAGGACAUGCCCUUGGGCCAUGCACCUUGUAAAAUGAGGGAAAUCCACAAGCACAGGGGAGACUGCUGUAAAACUGCAGCUCCACCCUGGCUCCACCUUCAGUCAGGUCCCUAACUAUGCCUCUCCACAAAAAUUGGAUGACAUCCCAAGGAGGGUCUUCUCACUCUCCAGGUAGCCCACAUCCUCCCUUGAAUGUGGAUCUACUUUCUAAAUAAACCUUUGUCUAUGCCUUUCUCUGGUGCAUAAUGAAAUUCUUUUCCAUCAUGUUGAGAACCCUUUUGCUCCUGAGUAGAAGUUCCACUCCACUCUGUGAACUUCUUAGACCCUUUUCUGGAGACAUCUCUUCUCCUGUGACAAUAUCAAUCAUUAAAGGAAAUCAUAGAACAGGAAGAUGGAAAUUUCCAAGUGCAUGAAAAUACAAAAUUAAGGUUCCCUGCAGCCUUUCAAGUAAGAAGUCCAUUGAUGCAGACACCCCAGGAAGUAUCCCCAUGGCCCCCAAGCCAAAACUGUCAUGGGACUUCUGCUGAAAGAAGAACAGGGAGAGGCAGCAAUCCUGGCCUUGACCCUUCCAAGGUAUACUAAAGCACCUCUCCUUAGAUGAGGGCUGCCUGACUGUGCAGACCCAAGCACCUCUAAGGUAAGGAGAGGCAAAAUGCCUAACUUCUCUUGCACAUACUACCCUAGUAGUUAUGACAUCCAGGUCAGAAAAUUCAAAGACAGCCUCUAAUUGACCCUUCAUGUCCUGCUAACUAAUAUCCCUCAUCUGGAGGUCACAGUGUUGGGUCACUUUCCAUCUCUGGGAGAAAAAUUCACAAACCAUCUUCUUCUCAGAGACCAUUCUAUUAUGCAAGGUGUACACUAAGUGUCAAAUCACUGUGCCCUCCUACCCAACCUCCUACUCAAACCACAGCCCCUGAAGGGACAUGAUUCCAGUGUUCUUUCCUUCUCCAUGCCAUGCCAUUUACACCUGUGUUGAAAAGGGGUCCAAUGCCCUAGCACUGGCUACCAAGAGUAUUUCUAUCCGCACAGGAUAGCCUCAAAAAUCAUCCACAAGCAAAAAGUAUUCAUAUCUAGAUCAAAUACCAAUUGUUUCAUUACAAAUUUCUUAACUUGCAUGAGUUUAGAUUUCAAGAGAAUAACAAGACAUCAAGAAAGGAAAAUUACUGGAAAUUAUUACAAUAGGAUAAAAUUCCCAUUUUGCAUGGAGUUUCCAAUGGUAAAAAGACAAAAGAGAUUUACUAUUCUCCUUGGAAAACACGGUAAGAUAGAUAUGCUGCUACUUUCACAUUAGACCUUGCCUCGUAUUAUAUACUAUAUGUCUUUUUUUAAAAAAAGAUGAUUAUCAGUCCAACCUAAAUCAUAUCAUCUUAUCAGCAGAAUACUACUCUUUCUUCCUCCAGUGAAACAGGCUCAGCCUAUCUGCACUGUCUCCUGAGAGGUUGCUUCACUAGAGAAAAUAAUAAGUUUAUUAUCAGACAGUUCACACCAGUGUUUCAAUUCUACUCUCCCUUCCUCCCUGCCCCAUGUCUCCC